UCCAGGUUUGCCUGGGACUGAGGGGUUUCCUGGGACAGGGGACUUGCGGUGCUAAACCCAGGACAG
rnacentral:miRNA from 1 species